CUCUGAUUCUAUAUAUAAAGGAAAGGGGGACCGCUUGAUCAACCGAUCUGUACAUCGAUUGGUGCUGCUUCUUCCUGUUGAGGAUCAAGGAAUGUAAUUUGCUGGGGGGAGUGUACUGAGAAUAACUCAGUAUCCCUACAUGGAAAGGUUUUCUUAGAUGGGGAAUUAUAAACCUAUUGAGAAAUAUUGUGUCAAUUACUUUUGUAUGUAGUCAUGUAUAUUAUAUUACGUGUUGUAAGAAUUAAAUUAAGGCAUACAAUGUAUUUCUAGGGUUAUUUAUGUUUUGUUAAUUAAGUGAGCGUUUCAUGGUUGUGGGUGAUGAGGUGGCAGGGACGCUACGUGGCAGGUGCUCACGCAGGCUCGGUCAGUUCCUAGUCGGUGAGGGGUGUGAUUAGUCGACGGACUGCGUUGGCUGGGGGUGUUACGUGAUUGUGUCGGAAGUAUCCUGUCGUUAGCUGGGUUGUGCUUGUGCCCCUGCUUGUGCACAAGUAGACGCGAGUUGAUCGAGUGGUGUGAAGGAUUGUGACGAAUGUACCCUGCCAGUAGACAGAUGUCUUCAUGUCUUCAUUUGGAUGGUGCUUUGGGUACUUAACGUGUGGGAUCCGAGGUGUUGUAACAUAGCAGUAACCAGGACGCUAGGAAGGGAGGCACUGUGUUGGACCCAAUAAAGGUGUUUACUGCCAGUGUUAUCUGAUUGGCGCCUGGUGAAACAAUAACGAUUAGAUU